CCUACGGGGGGCUGCAGUGAGGAAUAUUGGUCAAUGGACGAGAGUCUGAACCAGCCAAGUAGCGUGAAGGAUGACUGCCCUAUGGGUUGUAAACUUCUUUUAUAUGGGAAUAAAAUGUUCCACGUGUGGGAUUUUGUAUGUACCAUAUGAAUAAGGAUCGGCUAACUCCGUGCCAGCAGCCGCGGUAAUACGGAGGGUCCGAGCGUUAUCCGGAUUUAUUGGGUUUAAAGGGAGCGUAGGUGGAUUGUUAAGUCAGUUGUGAAAGUUUGCGGCUCAACCGUAAAAUUGCAGUUGAAACUGGCAGUCUUGAGUACAGUAGAGGUGAGCGGAAUUCGUGGUGUAGCGGUGAAAUGCUUAGAUAUCACGAAGAACUCCGAUUGCGAAGGCAGUUCACUGGACUGCAACUGACACUGAGGCUCGAAAGUGUGGGUAUCAAACAGGAUUAGAUACCCGAGUAGUC
rnacentral:rRNA from 1 species